GUCUAAUUUAUAAUUUUAUAGGUCGCUCGUUAUUAUGAACAGGAGAAAAACAGUAAGUGAACAGGAUAUUCACGUGCUCGGAUAAGUUGCCGUCGAUUAUCAUGAUGACAUAUUUAUGGAUUUUUUAACGUUCAUAGAAUUAUACACGAAGUCUUCUUAAAUUAUUAAAUACGACGAGGGCGCUAAUAUUGUUAACAAUGUAUGUUAACGAUGUACAAUAUUCAAUGUAUCGGGCUAAUGAUCGCGGGUUUAUAUGACGGAGUAAUUACAGAGAUGAACGUACGUCAGCGUUUUGCCAAACAGUCAGCAGAUAUUAUAUAUUGAUGAAGAACGAAGGGCAGAUGGAGAAAAAAUUCUAGAAAUCUAAUGGAUCGUUCAAAGUCCGCGAGCAACAUUUAAAUAACGACUCGAAUGUCGUUUCUUUAGAGUAGAUCAACAAGCGUCGACCACGGAACACGAGACGAGGGUAAAUGUGCUAAUAUCAGACUAGCGUAGCACUAAAAGCCCUCAUUUACUAUGUGAAACGAGCGUGCGACGAUUAUAGUGCGAUAAUUAUACCGUCUCUCUUUACGUCGGUGAAACUUUAUCUUAGCACGGGAAAGAAACUCCGCUAGUCGAAUUCGACCAGUCAAGCAAGUCGAGGACUUCAAGUUCCGAAAAACGACCCACCUGGAAGACAGUAUGAAUUGAGCCACGUUCAGUGAGAAUGCACGAAUGAGUGGAGAAAUGGACGAAUCGAUCGCGAUCUCGGCCGUUAUAUCUUCAGUUUCGCAGAGUAAUCUCCAUCGAGCAGUAUGGAUUUUCGAGAUAUAAGUAAGCUGAAUCGCUGGAUGAACCUGAUCUCUGGAAAUCUCCUGCCGAUGAGCAGCGACGACUCGUCGUUUCCGUUCUUUUGGAGACUGAACAGCGUCGUCGGUUGGUCAUUUGUGUUGGCUUAUCUGUGCGGCUUGAUAGCCGGUUUUUUCUUCGUGCCGGGCGACAAGAGUCUGAAAGAUGGCAUGAUCAGCAUAGUAAUCAUCAUGGAAGUGUCCGUGAUAAUUAUACGAAUUUACACGCAGAAGAGGCUAGUGCAGGAGCUGAUCCGCAAACUGAACGACAACCUGCACAUUCAGGACGAGAUGAUGCAGGACGUGUUGACGAUGACUCUGAAGCCGAUGAAAACUCCGCUGCAGUUUUACUGGGUCGUCAGCACAGUCGCGGCCAUCGUGUGGUGUUGCGUACCGUUGCCGUUGACUUUACACAAGAAUAUCUUCUACUACUUGGAUUUGCAGUCGCCGGUGGUUUAUUCCAAGGAGCCGUUCUCCGUUACAAGCUUCGUACUGAUCAACGUUGUGGUGCUGUUGAACAACAUAUAUCUUAUCACGAAAAAAGUCGCCGUGGACAUGUACAUGACUCACUUGGUGUUGUUGAUAACGGUGCAACAUUUAUACACCUCUCAAAAACUUGUGUCGAUAUUUCGAGAAGGUAACCAGUUGGAUGAUUACGAGGAUCUUCACAAGGACUACUCGAAGGCAGGUCGCACUAUGGUGAUGGCACUUAAAACGUUAUGUCAACAUCACAUCUCUGCCAUAAAACUAACGUUAAUGCUGAAGAAAUUGCUGUCUUUGAAUUUCAGUCUGAUAUACGUGAACGGAGUGCUUCGAUUCUGCUUCCUCGCUGUUAUGAUACUCUCGGUAAAUCUCGAUUAAUUUUUUAAAGCUAAUUACUUGAAGGAUAUUUUUGCAAUGACGGGGUAAAAGCGUGACGUUUUGUGCAUUUAACACGAAUUAUUAUCAAUUAUUAUAUAGCAACGAUGUAUCUUGUCGUGUGAAACUUUAGAUACCGUCCGCAGAAUUGGCAGUUAUCGUCGAAAGAUUGGCAAUCUGCACUUUCGCAUGCAGCGAGAUAGUCCAGUUGUAUGUAGUAUGUGCUUCCGUCCACAAAUUAUUAGAAGCGGUAAGUCUCGUCGAAACACGUGUAGCUUUUCAAUUUUGCCAAAUAAAACAAGUGUUAGGCUUCGUAGAUGCAUGUGUUCGAGUUCACUUUUUAAAUAAAUAUUGAGAUAUAUGGUAUGGUAGAAUUAAACCUCUCAAGUGCCGGACGAUUAAACAUUACAUUCAAUAGAAUGCAACUACACGAUAGCGUAUUACUCCGCUCUGUCGAGUUUAGAGUACGAAGAUAACGGAUGAAGCGUUCCACGAGGACUGGUAUCGAUUUGGACCGUGCGCGAAACGCAUGUUUAUGUUGAUCAUAAUGGCUAGUAACUUAGGGUUCAAACUUUCAACUUUUGAAAGAUUCAACCUGUCUCUUCCCUCGUUUAUGACGAUUUUAAAUCAAUCGUACUCGAUCGCUCUUCUAAUCCUAAAAGUAACAGUUAAACAGUGAAGGAAGCAAAAUAAUAU
rnacentral:misc_RNA from 1 species